AAGUCGUAACAAGGUUUCCGUAGGUGAACCUGCGGAAGGAUCAUUAAUGAAUUUAUAAUCCGGCGAGACGAAGGACGAGGACUGUCGCUGGCCUUCAACCGAGGCAUGUGCACGCUCUCUUCUGGACUUUCGCCGUAUGGGCGCGGGGCGACCCGCGUCUUCAUAUACCUCUUCGUGUAGAAAGUCUUCGAAUGUUUUUACCAUCAUCGAGUCGCGACUUCUAGGAGACGCGAUUCUUUGAGACAAAAGUUAUCACAACUUUCAGCAAUGGAUCUCUUGGCUCUCGCAUCGAUGAAGAACGCAGCGAAUCGCGAUAUGUAAUGUGAAUUGCAGAUCUACAGUGAAUCAUCGAAUCUUUGAACGCACCUUGCGCUCCUCGGUGUUCCGAGGAGCAUGCCUGUUUGAGCGUCAGUAAAUUCUCAACCCCUCUCGAUUUGCUUCGAGUGGGGCUUGGAUAGUGGGGGCUGCCGGAGACCUGAAAUUCAUUUCGGGACUCGGGCUCCUCUGAAAUGCAUCGGCUUGCGGUCGACUUUCGACUUUGCGCGACAAAGCUUUCGGCGUGAUAAUGAUCGCCGUUCGCUGAAGCGCAUCAAUGAACCGUCCCGUGCCUCUAAUCAGUCGACGCCUUCCGGGCGUCUUCCUUAUAGACGUUUGACCUCAAAUCAGGUAGGACUACCCGCUGAACUUAA
rnacentral:rRNA from 1 species